GGAGAGAUGCCCGAGAGGCCGAAGGGGGCACCCUGCUAAGGUGUUUUACCCGUUUUAGGGUAACGCGGGUUCGAAUCCCGCUCUCUCCG
rnacentral:tRNA from 1 species